rnacentral:rRNA from 1 species
UACAGAGGUCUCAAGCGUUGUUCGGAUUCAUUGGGCGUAAAGAGUGUGUAGGCGGCGCGGUAAGUCGGGUGUGAAAUCUUGGAGCUUAACUCCGAAACUGCAUUCGAUACUGCCGUGCUUGAGGACUGGAGAGGAGACUGGAAUUUACGGUGUAGCGGUGAAAUGCGUAGAUAUUGGGAGGAACACCAGUGGCGAAGGCGGCUCACUGGACCGGUUCUGACGCUGAUGCGCGAAAGCGUGGGGAGCGAACAGG